GCAUAUCAAUAAGCGGAGGAAAAGAAACCAACCGGGAUUGCCUUAGUAACGGCGAGUGAAGCGGCAAAAGCUCAAAUUUGAAAUCUAGUACCUUCGGUGCUCGAGUUGUAAUUUGUAGAGGGAUACUUUGGGGCCGUUCCUUGUCUAUGUUCCUUGGAACAGGACGUCAUAGAGGGUGAGAAUCCCGUGUGGCGAGGAGUGCGGUUCUAUGUAAAGUGCCUUCGAAGAGUCGAGUUGUUUGGGAAUGCAGCUCUAAGUGGGUGGUAAAUUCCAUCUAAAGCUAAAUAUUGGCGAGAGACCGAUAGCGAACAAGUACAGUGAUGGAAAGAUGAAAAGAACUUUGAAAAGAGAGUGAAAAAGUACGUGAAAUUGUUGAAAGGGAAGGGCAUUUGAUCAGACAUGGUGUUUUGUGCCCUCUGCUCCUUGUGGGUGGGGGAAUCUCGCAGCUCACUGGGCCAACAUCAGUUUUGGUGGUCGGAUAAAUCCGUAGGAAUGUGGCUUGCUUCGGCAAGUGUUAUAGCCUGCGGGAAUACGGCCUGCCGGGACUGAGGACUGCGACUUUGUCAAGGAUGU
rnacentral:rRNA from 2 species